UUUUAUUAAUCAAAUCAUAAACUAAAUACAAAUUUAAACUCAAUGGUUAUAUAUAUAAUAAAACCAACAAAAUCCUAAUAAAAAUAAUUAUCUAAAUAAUUAAUAAACUAAAUAAUAAAUAUUUGAAAAUAUCCCAAUAUUUAUCUGCAUCAUAUUUGAACUAACACCAACCACACAACAAUUUUGUUAAACACUUGUAUGUUUGACUAUGUCCUUGAUUUAAUUAGAUGAGUUCAUUUGUAACGCCUUUGACGAGGAUAAAAAUGUAAUUUGAUGGCUAGUGUGGGAAUAACAAGUAAUAGGGCUGGGCAAAUAAACCGAACCCGAUAACCCGAACCGAAUCCGAUCCGAUAAAAAUGAAUCUGAACCGAUCCGAACCCGAUGUAAGUACCGAAUGGAUCUUGUUUUGUGGUAUUUCGGGUUAUGGGUAUUAUCCGAACCGAACCCGAAUCUAAAUGGAUAUCCGAUAGAACCCGAAACAUUCAAAACCUCGAAAAGAUAUUGUACCAAACAUGAUCUCAAUUCCUAAUAUGUAUCCAAAAUACACUAAGAAAUACUGAACAUCUAAAAUACUUAUCUAUUACAUGAAAGUUGGUGGUUCUAUUACAUGAAUGUUGGUGGUUCUAUUACAUGAAGGUUGAUGGUUGAAGAUGGCCGUUGAAUCUUGAAGUAUUUAGAUAUAUGUUUUGUUUUCGUUAAAAAAUGUUUAUCAUUUCAUGAGAACUUGGUUUUUGUUUUAUGCUUUUAUUUAUUUGGUUUUCUUUUUAUCAGUAAAUAUGUUUACUUUUCGUUUGAUUUUGAAUGAUCAUGGUUGAUGUUUCUUAUUUUUGAAUCGAUUUUACUUAAGUUUUGGUUACAAAAUAGGUACAAAUCAGGUAUUUUAAAACUGAAGAACCGAUUUUACUCAUGUUUUGGUUAUAAAAUAGGUAAAAAUCAGGUACUUUUAAACCGAAAAACCGAUUGGGACCCGAACCCGAAAGUAUAUUGGGUUGUACCGGUUCUUUGAAGAUUUACUAACCCCGACCCGAACCCGAUAGAACCCGAACCGGUCCCGAACCGAACUUUCAUAUAAUCCGAAUGGGGCUGAUUUUGAUAAACCCGAAAAACCGAAACCCGAUUGGAUAAAACCGAAACCCAAUUGGGACUCCAAAUGCCCAGGCCUAGUUGAAAUUGACAUUGUAUUUGAUCACUGAAACUAUGAAAAAAGAAUCUCUUUUUGACGUUUUUAUUUAAUGCAAUGCAAUGAUAUUCAUAUAAAUCAAUACAACAAAGAGUUGAGAAAAAAGUUGACGAAAAAAGCAAACAAACAACAAAAUAUUGUACGGAAACAUUCAAAUGUUGGGAGUUAAACUCAUAUUAACAUUUUGUUAAUUACCAAAGCGUUUUUGCACAGUUUAAGAAACCAUUCGAUCCUCUGAGAAAGCUCUGCAUCGUUUCCGGCUCCUGACUCCAACUCGUUACUACAAGACUCGAUGGCGCUGAUUGCCGCGUUCAGCCAGACGUCGACGUCGGCAUGCGCAUCAACAAGCAUAGCAGAUAUCGAGUCGUCGAGCUGCUCCACAGCAUCUUGGUAAUUCUUCUGGCAGUCCUCGAGUGUGGUCUCCGUAGCCGGCUCUAGAUCCUCUCGGCUAAGCAUUUCCUUAAUAUAGGCGGAAGUGGAGGAGGCGUUAGCUGAGGCGGCAGAGAUAGCUAUGAUCUCGAUCUGGUUGGUGGUGGCUGCGAACUCGCCAGACUCAGGACGGGUCUGUAUGCUUGAGAGGCAGAGUUUUGGAUCGUCACAGUGUUUGCACAGAUCGGUAAUAAGAUUGGAAUCAGCAUUGACAUAUGAGAGAUAGAGAAUGAAAAUGAAGAGAAGUCUCGAGAAUUGCUUCAUCUUUGAUUAUUGAUUAGGUUUGGAAUGAAGAUUAUAAGAAUGAUGAAGAAAGAUUUAUAUUUGUAAAAGGGAAACCUACAAAACAAUAAUCAAAGUUCAAAGCGAAUUUUGUUUAUUUGUUGUUGAAGAAUUCUGUUUUUAGCAAUUUUGUUUAUAAUGAAAUGGAAAACUAAUCUGACUUAAAAAAUAAGGCGGGAAAUAUGCAACUACAAACAGAAAACAAUUUGGCCUAUGGGCUGAGAUGCUAUUUCUGAACGAGAUUGAAACCAAUAAUAUUUCAAAAUUUUUAUUGGAUUUUCAUGGUCUCAAUUAGGCAUAAGCUUUCAGUUUUCAGUUCGGUUAUGGUUUGAUUUUGGUUCGGUUACUUUGUUUUUGAUUGAGGUAACACCGUAACAGUGGUAGAAAACAAUUAAUAUCCGAUAAAAUUCUGGUUUCAAUCCGGUUAUGGUUUUCAGAUAAAUCAGAUAAAAAUCAGAUUUUGAUUAUUAUUUUUUCAGUUUUUCAGAUUAAAUAUCUAGUAAAUCAAAUAUAUCUAAAUAUUUUGGAUAAAAAAUAUUAGGCAAUUUGGUUCUUUCGGUUAAUUUGGAAAAUUUUGAAAUAUUUCAUAUAAAAAUCAGGUAAUUUGAUUUUUUGGGUAUUUGGUUUAUAAGUAAUAUUUUAAAAUUAUUUUAAAUUUUUAUCAAAUAUAAUUAAUAGUUUAGAUAAUCAAACUAUAUUUUAGAUAUUCAUGCACUCAUUCGGUUUUCGGUUCAGAGAUAUAAAAAUUACUCGCUUAUUUGUGAACAUCUGUUGGUUUUAGAUUUGAUUUCGUUCAGUUAUCGGUUCUCAAUUUAUAUGCGUAGACCUAGUCUUGAUAUAUGGAUUUUAUUAUCAGCUCAUGCAAUAUAUAUACGAUCCUUUGAAUAUUAGGAGUAUAUUAGCUUUUGAUUCUUUACCAAUUCAUUUUCUUCAUUUAUAGUGAGUUGCCCAGAAAAGGAAAUAAAUAAUUGAUAAUUGACACGAUCACGCUUCCCGCGUUUGAGGCCGAGAAUAUACGAAGGAAUUGAAGUAUUUAAAAAACAAUAGUGUUUCGUUAGACAUAUCUUUAGCAAAGACCUUAAAAAAAAUGAUAACUGUUGGACUUGACCUCAUCACCCUACGAAGAACAUGUAACAAUAAGCAAAACUUUUUUUUUUUUGCAAAAAACAAUAAGCAAAACUUGAGACCCAAAUAAUCUAAAAUGCAAACCGUUUCUAGUAUUACCUUACGUAAAAGAAACUAGACCAAAUAUUAACGAGUAUGAAUGAAUAGUCGUAUUCUUUGUUUGUUUGAGUAUAUAACUCGAUCAUGAAACAUUACUCUUUUUUUUUUUGAAACACCGAUCAUGAAACAUUACAUUUUACUAAACCCUUUAACAAAAAAAAAAAAGAAACAUUACAUUUUACUUAUUUUUAGGGUUUAGUAAAUCUUUUUUUGAGAGUCCACUGUCACAAGUCACAAAAAUUACAGCAUCACGAAUUUGGAAAUUUCUAAUCUUUCUUUAAAAUAAAAGAUAAAACCGAAACAAAAAUCACUCAAGAGUUGAAAAAUUCGUGCAUCACAUGAUUCUGCAAUUAUCAGGAUCUUCUCGGUAACCACCGUACAUCACCGGAGGUGGAUACGACGAAGCUACCAUCUGGUAAGGAGUUUCACGCAUAGAUCUACAAAAUCCACAGUAACCCGAAUUCGGUAUCUCGCAUAUGCAUCUUCUCGCCGGAGCCAUCUCAUUGUUAUGUUCCAUAAGAUACGGCUGCACUGGCUGCUUCUGCUGCUGCUGAGGAGGCGGCGGCGGCGGUGGUGCGGCCUGAACUGUGACAAUGGUCGUGUGACAAACUUUCUUGCGGAGUUCACGAGUUAGCUCUGCCGUAUCAAUCCCUUCUCCCACUAUAACCAGCUGAUCGUUCUGUCCCUGAAUCGAGACAGAUCUCACACCUGCACGCGCGAAAACAAACAAAGUUGCUGAAACGUUUUUCAAAUUACCUAACUUGGCGUGCAAGUUAUUUGCAAAAGAAGUCAUAGAGAUGUUUUUACCAGAAGCUCCAGAUGCAAUUUUCAUAGCUUUCUUGAUUGAUUUCUCACUCUCGCUCAUAUCCAUCUUCAGAACUAUCCUUUGCUGAAUAAACAACCAUAUGGUAUUUGAAAAACCAACUCAGAAGAUGCAUUAUGAAUACUCUACUAGCAAGGAACAAGAAUGAUCUACACUAAAACAUCCUAGAACUAACCUAAUCACCCUUAAUCUCCCUAACUAGGGCUGGGCAAAUAAACCGAACCCGAAAACCCGAACCGAAUCCGAUCCGAUAAAAAUGAAUCUGAACCGAUCCGAACCCGAUGUAAGUACCGAAUGGAUCUUGUUUUGUGGUAUUUCGGGUUAUGGGUAUUAUCCGAACCGAACCCGAAUCUAAAUGGAUAUCCGAUAGAACCCGAAACAUUCAAAACCUCGAAAAGAUAUUGUACCAAACAUGAUCUCAAUUCCUAAUAUGUAUCCAAAAUACACUAAGAAAUACUGAACAUCUAAAAUACUUAUCUAUUACAUGAAAGUUGGUGGUUCUAUUAUAUGAAUGUUGGUGGUUCUAUUACAUGAAGGUUGAUGGUUGAAGAUGGCCGUUGAAUCUUGAAGUAUUUAGAUAUAUGUUUUGUUUUCGUUAAAAAAUGUUUAUCAUUUCAUGAGAACUUGGUUUUUGUUUUAUGCUUUUAUUUAUUUGGUUUUCUUUUUAUCAGUAAAUAUGUUUACUUUUCGUUUGAUUUUGAAUGAUCAUGGUUGAUGUUUCUUAUUUUUGAAUCGAUUUUACCUAAGUUUUGGUUAUAAAAUAGGUUUGAAUCACGUAUUUUAAAACUGAAGAACCGAUUUUACUCAUGUUUUGGUUAUAAAAUAGGUAAAAAUCAGGUACUUUUAAACCAAAAAAUCGAUUGGAACCCGAACCCGAAUGUAUAUUGGGUUGUACCGGUUCUUUGAAGAUUUACUAACCCCGACCCGAACCCGAUAGAACCCGAACCGAUCCCGAACCGAACUUUCAUAUAAUUCGAACGGGGCUGAUUUUGAUAAA
rnacentral:lncRNA from 1 species